rnacentral:rRNA from 1 species
GGCUCCAUAAAACAGUUGUAACCAAGCACCGAGUGAUACACCUAUACGGAUAUCCCCGGUAAUUCUGAGGCUAAUACGUGAAAAAAUUUUCCCCGGAUCUCGGGCAACCGAGAGAAGGGGCGCUCAGCAUCUCACUUCCAAACCGAUUUGGCUCAUGAAUGCAGGCUGAGCACGACCGCGCAAGCGGCUCUGGUGGCCGGCUUCUGACCUAUCAACUUGAUGCAGGCAUAAGGUACAAACAUGGUAACAACGGGUACAGAGGAUAAGGGUUCGAU